rnacentral:rRNA from 1 species
GUUAAGCGACUAAGCGUACACGGUGGAUGCCCUGGCAGUCAGAGGCGAUGAAGGACGUGCUAAUCUGCGAUAAGCGUCGGUAAGGUGAUAUGAACCGUUAUAACCGGCGAUUUCCGAAUGGGGAAACCCAGUGUGAUUCGUCACACUAUCAUUAACUGAAUCCAUAGGUUAAUGAGGCGAACCGGGGGAACUGAAACAUCUAAGUACCCCGAGGAAAAGAAAUCAACCGAGAUUCCCCCAGUAGCGGCGAGCGAACGGGGAGCAGCCCAGAGCCUGAAUCAGUGUGUGUGUUAGUGGAAGCGUCUGGAAAGGCGCGCGAUACAGGGUGACAGCCCCGUACACAAAAAUGCACAUACUGUGAGCUCGAUGAGUAGGGCGGGACACGUGGUAUCCUGUCUGAAUAUGGGGGGACCAUCCUCCAAGGCUAAAUACUCCUGACUGACCGAUAGUGAACCAGUACCGUGAGGGAAAGGCGAAAAGAACCCCGGCGAGGGGAGUGAAAAAGAACCUGAAACCGUGUACGUACAAGCAGUGGGAGCACAGAGCAAUCUGUGUGACUGCGUACCUUUUGUAUAAUGGGUCAGCGACUUAUAUUCUGUAGCAAGGUUAACCGAAUAGGGGAGCCGAAGGGAAACCGAGUCUUAACUGGGCGUUAAGUUGCAGGGUAUAGACCCGAAACCCGGUGAUCUAGCCAUGGGCAGGUUGAAGGUUGGGUAACACUAACUGGAGGACCGAACCGACUAAUGUUGAAAAAUUAGCGGAUGACUUGUGGCUGGGGGUGAAAGGCCAAUCAAACCGGGAGAUAGCUGGUUCUCCCCGAAAGCUAUUUAGGUAGCGCCUCGUGAAUUCAUCUCCGGGGGUAGAGCACUGUUUCGGCAAGGGGGUCAUCCCGACUUACCAACCCGAUGCAAACUGCGAAUACCGGAGAAUGUUAUCACGGGAGACACACGGCGGGUGCUAACGUCCGUCGUGAAGAGGGAAACAACCCAGACCGCCAGCUAAGGUCCCAAAGUCAUGGUUAAGUGGGAAACGAUGUGGGAAGGCCCAGACAGCCAGGAUGUUGGCUUAGAAGCAGCCAUCAUUUAAAGAAAGCGUAAUAGCUCACUGGUCGAGUCGGCCUGCGCGGAAGAUGUAACGGGGCUAAACCAUGCACCGAAGCUGCGGCAGCGACGCUGAUGCGUUGUUGGGUAGGGGAGCGUUCUGUAAGCCUGUGAAGGUGUGCUGUGAGGCAUGCUGGAGGUAUCAGAAGUGCGAAUGCUGACAUAAGUAACGAUAAAGCGGGUGAAAAGCCCGCUCGCCGGAAGACCAAGGGUUCCUGUCCAACGUUAAUCGGGGCAGGGUGAGUCGACCCCUAAGGCGAGGCCGAAAGGCGUAGUCGAUGGGAAACAGGUUAAUAUUCCUGUACUUGGUGUUACUGCGAAGGGGGGACGGAGAAGGCUAUGUUGGCCGGGCGACGGUUGUCCCGGUUUAAGCGUGUAGGCUGGUUUUCCAGGCAAAUCCGGAAAAUCAAGGCUGAGGCGUGAUGACGAGGCACUACGGUGCUGAAGCAACAAAUGCCCUGCUUCCAGGAAAAGCCUCUAAGCAUCAGGUAACAUCAAAUCGUACCCCAAACCGACACAGGUGGUCAGGUAGAGAAUACCAAGGCGCUUGAGAGAACUCGGGUGAAGGAACUAGGCAAAAUGGUGCCGUAACUUCGGGAGAAGGCACGCUGAUAUGUAGGUGAAGUCCCUCGCGGAUGGAGCUGAAAUCAGUCGAAGAUACCAGCUGGCUGCAACUGUUUAUUAAAAACACAGCACUGUGCAAACACGAAAGUGGACGUAUACGGUGUGACGCCUGCCCGGUGCCGGAAGGUUAAUUGAUGGGGUCAGCGCAAGCGAAGCUCUUGAUCGAAGCCCCGGUAAACGGCGGCCGUAACUAUAACGGUCCUAAGGUAGCGAAAUUCCUUGUCGGGUAAGUUCCGACCUGCACGAAUGGCGUAAUGAUGGCCAGGCUGUCUCCACCCGAGACUCAGUGAAAUUGAACUCGCUGUGAAGAUGCAGUGUACCCGCGGCAAGACGGAAAGACCCCGUGAACCUUUACUAUAGCUUGACACUGAACAUUGAGCCUUGAUGUGUAGGAUAGGUGGGAGGCUUUGAAGUGUGG